ACCCAGUUGACGAGUUCCAAAUAGGAUGAAGCGCGCGUCCUAGAU
rnacentral:hammerhead_ribozyme from 1 species